UGUAGUCAUAUGCUUGUCUCAAAGAUUAAGCCAUGCAUGUCUAAGUAUAAGCAAUUAUACCGCGAAACUGCGAAUGGCUCAUUAAAUCAGUUAUCGUUUAUUUGAUAGUACCUUACUACAUGGAUAACCGUGGUAAUUCUAGAGCUAAUACAUGCUAAAAAUCCCGACUUCGGAAGGGAUGUAUUUAUUAGAUUAAAAACCAAUGCCCUUCGGGGCUCUCUGGUGAUUCAUAAUAACUUCUCGAAUCGCACGGCCUUGCGCCGGCGAUGGUUCAUUCAAAUUUCUGCCCUAUCAACUUUCGACGGCUGGGUCUUGGCCAGCCAUGGUGACAACGGGUAACGGAGGGUUAGGGCUCGACCCCGGAGAAGGAGCCUGAGAAACGGCUACUACAUCCAAGGAAGGCAGCAGGCGCGCAAAUUACCCAAUCCCGACUCGGGGAGGUAGUGACAAUAAAUACUGAUACAGGGCUCUUUUGGGUCUUGUAAUUGGAAUGAGUACAAUUUAAAUCCCUUAACGAGGAACAAUUGGAGGGCAAGUCUGGUAAUCGAAUCCCC
rnacentral:rRNA from 1 species